GCUGGAGUGCAAUGGCGUGAUCUCGGCUCACUGCAACCUCUGCCGCCCAGCUUCAAACGAUUCUCCUGCCUCAGCCUCCAGAGUACCUGGGAUUACAGCUUCCAGUAAACUUUUAAAAUGAAAAAGAAGGCAAGAUUAAAUAAUCUCAACUAUGUGACUGCUUAAAUGGGGAAUGAAAUCAAUUCUUCACAUCUAUGGAAAAACAAGUGAGCCAGGGUUGUGAUUCCAACUGGAUAAAGAAUGAACGUGGAAUUAUUAAUGUGAUGUAACAGAGGAAGAAAUAAGUUUAAUUGAUCAAGUAUUUGCUCAGUAUGUACUAGGAGCCUGGAAAUUGAAGAGUUUUAUCUCUUGGAAUUCCUUAAGAAAAACCUUGGCUUAAUAAUUUAAAUGUUUUCAUGUCUGAAGCAGGAAAAUGAAUUAGCUAUUACAGGUGCAUUCUUGUUCUUUGAUGCUUACUUGUUAGGACAUAGGCCACCCUUCACUGCUAGUAAUGUGUUCUUAGACAGAAUUAAAAUUGAGCCCACAUCACAUUCUCACAGCCAAACUUGUAAAUCUAUCCUUUAAAGCUCAAAUUUCUGUUUUGAUUAGAUGCAAAACAUUCAGAUGAUUUAUGAUUGUUUAAUUAAAAGAAAUCAGUGAAAUAAAAACAAAUUAAACUGUUUUAAUUGCUUUUGGGUUCAAUUAAUCAACUAUUGCCUACUUGAUGUAUCUACCAACAUUAACACAAGGAAAUAUAUUCAUUAGUUUCAUUCACUUGCUAUUGAAAUGAGACUUUAUUAUUUCUCAUUGAUCUCCUGCCAGGAUGGCGAUAUUUUACUCUUCAACAAUGUACACUGAUAUCAAAGUUGGGAAAAGGUUUCUAUCCUGAAUGUUUGAAAAUGAACCAAUUAACUACACGACCCUAAACCUUUCAGAAUUUUUUCCCCAUUCUAUUAAAAAAAAAAUCAUACAAAGGUUACCCAUGUAUAAUCUUAGUUCUUCAAACUGGUUAUUGCAACUAACACAGUAUACAUUAUUCUCCAUCACUGUGGAAAUACAGAGUACCUCAAGAGAGUCUCCUACCCAGCAGCCUAAAGGUUCUUCUACACAUUUUGAAAAGGCUACCAAGAUAAGAACAAAGAAUAAAAUUAGGUAAUUUACAAAGGAGGUAUACAGAAUCUAAAUAGAUACUACCAUGGUAACUUACAGUUGGGUGAUGCUGGUGGGUUAUCUUACAGCUCUUAGAGAGUUUUUUUCUUUCAGGGAGUCUGGCCUAUGAUGUGACAUAGGAUGGCCCACAAUCAACUGAUUCAAAAAUAGAGGGUCUCUGUUUCUAUCAGUGCAGGAUGUUUGCUAUGUCACACAUCAUUCUCACUUCUUUACUCAUGUCAAAAAUCAUUAGUGUGUCUCUGCAGAAGUUAGACUGUACCAUCUUAUAACCUGGUAGGAAGAGGGACCCCUUCUAUUUAUAGUCUCUUUAAAUACAGACUUCAAGAGGGAAAAUGGCAAGGUAGGAAUUUUCAGAGAUUCAUCCUUCUGCUAAAACGACGAUUACGCUGGAAAAAAAAUAAUUGCAACCAACUAUUUUGGAAUGCUGGAACUUGGUAAGAUACUUACAGUGACUAGGGGAGUGUCUGAUGAGGGAGAGGCUGUAAAACUUCACUCAGGGAACAGCAUGCUUAAGCCACCAACCAUCCCCCAUUCCUUAGCUCCACCGUAGCCACAGGAAUGGUAACUUAUUUUCCUGGAGCAGCUGGCUGGAACUGGAGUGGGCAAUAAGGACCUAGUCCUCCAAAAAUAUAGGGCUGUGUAUUAUGUUCACUUUGGAGGUUCCUGGAAGGACCAGUGCAGACACUUGUCUUUGUUUUGACCCCAUCUCACUUCCUUCGUGGAGUGUAUCAAAAGAUUUGAAGAGAUACACAUCCUUUUUUCUUUUUUUGAACCAGACAUUUAAGAAAAAUCCCUCUCAGGUCACAGGCUGAUCAUAGAGAUAAGAACAGAAAUUUCAGUGACUACACACACAAUGAAGAACACUCAGACUUUGCAAAAAUAGUUUGGAAAAGUCACUAGACAGGGCCGGGUGCAGUGGCUCAUGCCUGUAAUCCUAGCACUUUGGGAGGCCAAGGCAGGUGGAUCACUUGAGGUCAGGAGUUCGAGACUAGCUUGGCCAACAAGGUGAAACCCCGUCUCUAAUAAAAAUACAAAAAAAUUAGCCAGGCCUGGUGGCACAUGCCUGUAAUCCCAGCUACUAGGGAGGCUGAGGCAGGAGAAUAGCUUGAAACCGCGAGGCGGAGGUUGCAGUGAGCCGAGAUCAUGCCACUGUACUCCAGCUUGGGUAACAGAGCAAGACUGACUCCCCAAAAAAAAAAAAAAAAAAAAAGUCACUAGACAAAUGCAUGAUUACAGACCUCAAAAGCAACUCCUCAGAAAGAGAAGAAUGAUUUCCAGAGUUACCACAUUAUACUAAUUGUGUAGUUCUCAGUAGUUCAAUAUAAAAUUGUAAAGCAUACAAAGAACAGGGAAGAAUGGCUCAUUCACAGGAAAAAAGAAUUCAACAGAAAUUAUUCCUGAGGAAAUCCAGACACUGGGAUUACUACUCAAAGACAUUAAAUCAACUGUAUUAAAUAUGCCUAAGGAGUUACAAGAAACCAUGGACAAAGAAAGGAUAUCAAGGGGAUACUAUCAAAAAGGAAUGUCAAUAGACAGGAAUUAUAUUAAAAAAUAGAAAUUCUGGCACAGAGAUGUAUGAUAGUAAAAAUAAAAAAUUCACUAGAGGUGUUCAAUGGCAGUUAAGAGGAGGCAGCAGACAGAAUCAGUGGACUUUAAGAUAAUGCAACUGAAUUUAUCUAGUCUGAGGAGCAGAAAGAAAAAAUGUAGAAAAAUAAAAGACGUGGGGGAUACCAUCAAGCAUACCAAUAUAUGCAUUGCUGGAGUUUCAGAGGGAGAUGAGAGACAUAAAGGGUAGAAAAAAAUGUUUAAAGAAAUGGCUGAAUACUUCCCAAAUUUGUUGAAAGACAUGAAUCUAUACAUUCAAGAAGCUCAGCAAAUUCCAAGCAGGAUAGCCUCAAAGAGAUCCACAAUGAUCACAAUAUGAGUCAAACUGUUGAAAACCUGAGAGAAUCUUGAAAGCAGCAAGAGGCAAAAUGAGUCAUCACAUAGAAGGAAUCCUCAAUUAGACUAACAACUGAUAUUAGAAACUAUGGAGGUCAGAAGGCAAUGGGAUGGCACAUUUAAAGUGCUGGCUGAAAGAAAAAAGUAAAUCUGCCAAUCAAGAAUUCUAUAUCCAACAAAACUAUCCUUCAAGGAUAAAAGAGAAAUUAGGACAUUUCCAGAUUAAGAAAAGCUAAAGAAGCUUAUUACUACUAAACCUGCCCUAUAAGAAAUGCUAAAGGAAGUCAUUCAACCUGAAUUGAAAGAAUAGGCAGUAACUUGGAACCAUAUGAAGAAAUAAAGAAUAUUAAUAAAGAUAAUUACAUAAGUAAACAUAAAAGCUAGUAUUAUUGCACUUUUGGUUUGUAACUCCUCUUUUCUUCCUAUAUUAUUUAAAAGGCAAAUUCAUUAAACAAUAAUUUUAAGUCUAGGUUAAUGGAUACACAGGUAAAAAGAUGUAAUCUGUGACAAUAACAAUACAGAGGGGGAGGGACAGAGAUGUAUAGGAGCAGAGUGUUUGCAUACUAUUAAAACUCACUUGGUAUUAUUCAAACUGACUGGAGGCUUAAAAUGUUAAUUAUGAUCCCCAAGGUAACCACUAAGAAAACAACUAAUAACCAAAAGAGUCAUAGAGUGAUUAUAUUAUCAGACAAAACAAAUUUUAAGUCAAAACAGGUUACAAGAGACAGAAGACCAUUAUAUGGUGAUAAAUGUUCAAUGAUCAGGAAGAUUUAUACAAUUAUCAACAUAUAUGCACCUAACAACAGAGCCCCAAAAUAUAUGAAGCAAAACUUGACAGGACUUAAGGGAGAAAUAAAUAGUUCUACAUUAAGACUUGGAUACUUCAAUAUCCACUUUCAACAAUUAAUAAAAAAAUUAAGACAAAAGAUCAAUAAGGAAAGGGAGAACUAGAACAACACUUUAAACCACUUAAAUCUAACAGACAUAUAUAGAACAUGCUACCACUAAUAGCAGAAUGUACAUUUUCCAUAAGUGCACACAGAACAUUUUCCGGGAUAGAUCAUAUGUCAGGUCAGGAAAACAUGUCUUAAUAAAUUUAAAAAGACUGAAAUUAUAUAAAAUGCCUUUUCUGAUCACAAAGAAAUGAAACUAGAAUAACAGAUGGAAACUGGAAAACUCAUAAGUAUGCAGAAAUUAACACAUUCUUAAACAACCAAUGGGCUAAAGAAGAAAUCACAAGGAAAAUUGGAAAACACCUUCAGCAAAUGAAAGACAAAAUGCAACAUUCCAAACUUAUAGGAUGCAGCAAAAACAGUGCUCAGAGGGAAACUUAUAGCUGUAAAUGCUCACAUGAAAAAAGCAGAUACAUAUGAUCACAUUUGGGAUUUUAAAAGCAGAUAUAUCUGAAAUCAAUAACCUACUCUACACCUUAAGGAACUAGAAAAAAAAAGAGCAAACAAAACCCAAAGCUAGCAGAAGGAAGAAAAUAAUAGAUUAGAGUGAAGAUAGAGAAUUAAAAAAAAAAAUCAAAAUCAAAAGUUCAUUCUUUGAAAAGAUCAACUAGCAAUGUUUACCUUAGAUUGGGUUAAAAAAGAGAAGACUCAAAUCACAAAAACAGAAAUAAAAGAGGGGGCAUAACUACUUACUGUACAGAAAUAAGAAUUCUAUAAGAAAAUACUAUGAACAACUGUACGCCAACAUGUUAGAUAACCUAGAUGAAACAAAUUUCUAGAAACAUAAAAACUGACUCAUAAACAAAGUCUACAUAAAUACAUAACAAGAAACUGAAUCAGUAAUAAAAAAUGUCCCAA